AAUUGAUUUAGGGAUUUAGGCAGGACACGAGUGUCCCUUCCGGAAGCGUCAGUGGAGGAUAAUUUUCAACUCAGAGAAAAAAUCUUCUCAGUUUCCCAUAGUUUUCUUUGGGUUGAAAAUUAUCCUCCACUGACGCUUCCGGAAGGGACACUUGUGUCCUGCCUUCAUAUUAUCUUCACGUCAGUU
rnacentral:pre_miRNA from 1 species